UUUAUUUAUUUAUUGAAAUAACAUGUUUAUAAGUAAUUUUUAUUGAAUUUAUUAUUUUAGCUAUAGUUCAUUUUACUGUAAAGGAUUUUUAUUUUAUUUAUUUUAAGCAAAUUUUUUUUAUUGUACCUUUUGUAUCAGGGUUUAUUUAAUUUAUUUUAAUUAUUAUUAUUAUUCCCGAAGUUAAGAGAUAUAAAUUUAUAUGUAAGUUUUCGUUUUAUAGAAAUUUAUAAUUUAAAUUUAGAGGUUAUAUGCUAUUCAAUCUUAAAUAUCUGGUUUUUUAAUAAAUCAAUUUAAUUGAGGAUAUUAUUUGUUAAUUUAUAAUUUUAUUUUAUUUAAUAUUAAUAUCAAAAAUAUUAGGGGAUAAGCUCUAAUUUUGUUCUAUAAUUAAUUUAUUUAUAAAGGUUUGUAGGCUUAGAAACAGUCAUCAUUUAUUUCGUUAUAGUUAGAUUUUCUUUUUUUUUUAUUUAUUUUAAUUUAGGUUUAUAUUAAAAAAUCUUAUUUAAUUCUUAUUUAUGAGUUAUAAUGAUAGAAUUAGUAGAAUUGAAUAUUUAAGUAUAGUAAUUCGGCAAAUAUAAUUCUCGCCUGUUUAACAAAAACAUGUCCUUUAGAUUAAUAAUUAAAGGUCUGACCUGCCCAGUGAUAUAAUUAAACGGCCGCAGUAUUCUGACUGUGCGAAGGUAGCAUAAUCAUUUGUCUCUUAAUUAGAGGCUAGAAUGAAUGGUUGGACGAGGAAUUAACUUUCUUUACUUAAAUUUUUUGAAUUUGACUUUUGAGUUAAAAGGCUUAAAUUUUUUUGUUAGACGAGAAGACCCUAUAGAAUUUUAUUAUUAUAUAUUAAUUUGUUAUUUGGUUUAUUAAUAAUAAUUUGAAAUUUAAUAAUUUUGUUGGGGCGACAGUGAAAAUUAAUUAACUUUCAUUAAAUUUAAUUCAUUUAUUUAUGUAUUUUGUUGAUCCUAAUAUUUGGAUUAUAAGAUUAAAUUACCUUAGGGAUAACAGCGUAAUUAUUUUGGAGAGUUCAUAUCGAUAAAGUAGUUUGCGACCUCGAUGUUGGAUUAAAGAAAGUUUUUGGUGUAGGUGCUUAAAAACUAAGUCUGUUCGACUUUUAAUUCUUUACAUGAUCUGAGUUCAGACCGGCGUAAGCCAGGUUGGUUUCUAUCUACAAAAUUUUGAUUAUACUUUAGUACGAAAGGACCAAGUAUAAGUAAUAUUUAUCUAUUGUUUGAUUAAUAUUAA
rnacentral:rRNA from 1 species